rnacentral:misc_RNA from 1 species
CCGAGUUGCAACACUCACCAAACCCACUGCAAACUUACCUAUUUUGGCGACUCCGGCAGGCGGCCCCAGGGCGGGGCCUCAGCCUUUUCAGGCGCCUGCCGAAGCCGCCACAACUUUACUCUAAAAAUUACCUCUGAGUCCUAAGACAAAAUAUAUCA